rnacentral:pre_miRNA from 1 species
CCUUAACGAGAAUCUGAUACGGUUUCAGUCAGACCGGAGGGGAAAGACGCUUAUACAGCUUCGCAACC